ensembl:misc_RNA Metazoa_SRP Metazoan signal recognition particle RNA
CCUUUAAAACAUGUUACUUUAAAACUAUCCCAGCUGCCAGGGAGGCUGAGGUUGGUGGAUCUCUUGAGAAUUCUGAACUGUAGUGGUCUAUGUUGAUUGGGUGUCUGAUCUAAGAUUGGCAUCACUAUGGUGAUACCCUGGGAGUGGAGAGCUACCAGGUUGCCAAGGAAAAGCAGAUUAGCCCACAUUGGAAAUGGAAUAGGUCAAAGCCUAUGCUAAUCAGUAUUGGAAUUGAACCUAUAAGUGGCAAAAGCACUUCCAGUCUGGAUGAGAUAAGAGAUUCCAGUCUUU